rnacentral:rRNA from 1 species
CAGCAGCCGCGGUAAUACAGAGGGUGCGAGCGUUAAUCGGAUUUACUGGGCGUAAAGCGUGCGUAGGCGGCUUCUUAAGUCGGAUGUUAAAUCCCUGAGCUUAACUUAGGAAUUGCAUUCGAUACUGGGAAGCUAGAGUAUGGGAGAGGAUGGUAGAAUUCCAGGUGUAGCGGUGAAAUGCGUAGAGAUCUGGAGGAAUACCGAUGGCGAAGGCAGCCAUCUGGCCUAAUACUGACGCUGAGGUACGAAAGCAUGGGGAGCAAACAGGAUUAGAUACCCGUGUAGUCCCUGUCUCUUAUAC